CCUACGGGCGGCUGCAGUGAGGAAUAUUGGUCAAUGGACGAGAGUCUGAACCAGCCAAGUAGCGUGAAGGAUGACUGCCCUAUGGGUUGUAAACUUCUUUUAUAAAGGAAUAAAACGAGGCACGUGUGCUUUUUUGCAUGUACUUUAUGAAUAAGGAUCGGCUAACUCCGUGCCAGCAGCCGCGGUAAUACGGAGGAUCCGAGCGUUAUCCGGAUUUAUUGGGUUUAAAGGGAGCGUAGAUGGGUUGUUAAGUCAGUUGUGAAAGUUUGCGGCUCAACCGUAAAAUUGCAAUUGAUACUGGCAGUCUCGAGUACAGUUGAGGUAGGCGGAAUUCGUGGUGUAGCGGUGAAAUGCUUAGAUAUCACGAAGAACCCCGAUUGCGAAGGCAGCUUACUAAACUGUGACUGACAUUGAUGCUCGAAAGUGUGGGUAUCAAACAGGAUUAGAUACCCGAGUAGUC
rnacentral:rRNA from 1 species